GGGGAUGUAGCUCAGUGAUAGAGCUCUUGCCUAGCAAGUGUGAGGCCUUGGAUUGCAUUCCCA
rnacentral:tRNA from 1 species